CUUACUUUGCACUCGAUUCUAAGCCGCCGGCGGUGUUUUGGAUUACAAAAACUGUAAAAAAAGUGCGGCUUAGAUUCGAGUAAAUACGUUGUUGACUAAUGGAUUCUGCAGAUAUCUCUCCAAGUGAGUGCACAAAAUAUCUUUCACUGUCAGGUUUGCGCCAAUGUAGUGAGCAGUCGUAACUACAACCGUGCCAAAAGGGAUCGGCAAGGUUCUCUGCCCGAAAGCUCAUAUAGUCAACACAUGUUUCUUUCUGCUUCUGAAUAAAUUGUAAAUUGAUAUCUAGAGGGUGCUUUCAUAUUAUAAUUUAAUAUCUGUUUCUUUUAAAAAAAAAUGCUUUAGGCACCACUAAAGUGAAUAAAUUACCAUACGUU